rnacentral:lncRNA from 1 species
GGUCUCCCCACGAAAGAAGGUGAAUGCUUCGACUGUGGUGAAAAGAUUGGAGGUCUUGAACAUAGACCUGUGGAAGGAUUUAAGGCUUUUGAUUUGAAGAAUAACCUGACUGAGACGGGACACAUCCUCGGUGAUCCCGUUUGCAGGAACAAUCCGGACAUGCAGGACACAAAAGGCCUGUCCUCCGUUCCCUUCACCAUCAUCCGGAUGUUCACCCACAUGGCCAUGAUGGUCGGCGUCCGCAACUGCACACAGUCGAUCUCCGCCAUCAUUAAGCCUCCGGUCCCUGAACCAGCAGAAUUUCUUUUUGCUCACCUUCAGAAAGAUGAGGACCAUGUGAUCAGAUACCUGGGAAAGGGGAAGGAUGACACUGACAGCAUCAUUCACCUGCUCAUCAGCAGCCUCCUGGAACCAGGUACUGGAACAGACCACCAACAAAGACUCAUGACACAUU